rnacentral:lncRNA from 1 species
CGCACCCGACGAUCGAAUAUAUAUGAAGAGAGAGAUUGGAUAUGCAUUGUGUGCCACUCGUUUGAGGAACCAUACUCCCACCCCACGAUCAAAGGAGAAAUCCAAUGGCUCUUACCCCCCUACUAUUUAUCACUAUUUAUUCAAGAAUCAAGAGCAAGAGCGAGAAAUACUAAUGCUAUUAAGGAAGAAAAAAAAAGAAAGAAAAAGGAUAAAAAAAAAA